UUGCAGGGGGAAGAAUGAAUUCACUUUAAAUGCCGAUGGAGGAGCCCAGCACCGAUCCCAAGGGAGCCUGGCACAGCAGGGAUAAAUCCCAUCUCCAUCCUACAGCGUUUUAUCCCUCAAAUUUAGAAGCGUGCCCCAAAUUUUGAUUAUGUUCCCUACCAAUUUUUUUCCCUGCUUGAAAUUUGAGAUGCAGUUUUUUGGGUGGGAGGAAACCGAAGCUGCCUUGCAGGGGCUUGGGAGAUGAAAUGACUCCUGUUCCCGCUUGCUGCCUUCCACCCCCGAUCAUCUCCAGCCCCCCUGGAGCAUCGCCCCGUGCCGGCACCCGUGGCAGAGGACAGGUGCUGCAGCCACCCGCUCAAAUCCCUGCGGAUGAAAGAGCGGAAACCGCUGAUUCAUCCCCGGGCGAGCCUGCCCCAAGCGCUGGUGUGUGGAUGUGCCCCAACGAGGAGCGCUGGCAGGGGGGACGCCGUCCCCACGGAGCAUCACUCGGCAGUGGUGACCGGGAUCUUGGCUGGGUCGGGGGAUGCUCCAGCAGCAUGAAAUCCCCUUCAGGAAAGAGCCUGGCUUCAGAAAAAACUACUUUAAUCACCCCAAAAGCGAAGUGCUGAGCUGAGAUGCCCCAACCCACUGCUCUUUGGGCUUUUUUGUUUAAUGUUUGGACAUUAUUUCUUUCCGCAGCCCCUGAGGGGAGGGCACGGUGCCGGGUGGAAACUGCGGCUGCUCCAGGCCCUUUGCUCUGUGCCCAAGCAGCACUGGAGUGGGGAGAACACCCAUGUCAGAGCCCCAGGAAGGGCCAUGCUGUUCCAUAAGGAGCAUUGUUAAUUUGAAGGAUAACUAGCUUAUUACAUAGAGGCUUGGGGGGGGCUGAAAUUGCACAGGGUUUUUUGGUGGGGGGAGGGUUUAAGGAGCUUAUGGAGCUUCGCAGCCGGAGCCAGGGAGCUCAGCCCCAGCAGCAGCCGGUCCCAGCGGGUGGAGGGGCCCUGCCGCAGCCCCCCACUGUCCCAGCCAAGGAAAUCCUCUUAGGGGUCACAGGGUUCAGCCCCAUGUCCCCGCCCCUUAUGGCACAGAAAAGGGGACUGUGGCAUCCCCCUGACCUUUAAGAGGUCUGAGGAGCAGCAUGGGGCACUCACGCCAGGGUGGGGACCAACAGUGCCAGUGUUCCCAGCACUGGCUGUCCCUAAGCCCUUGGCCCUGCUCUCAGCCCCUGUUUAUCCCAUCCUGCUGUCACCAAGCAGUGCCCACAGCUGCAGCAGCUUAGGAGGGCGCCUGGGCGGCCCCCAGGACAUGGUCCCCUGUCCGGGCUCCUCUCCAGCCAUCUGCCACCCCCUGGCCCAGAUCAAGCGUGCCGGUAUCUCCUGGCCACCGGCAGAGAUGCCAGUGGGGUGGGAGGGGAAACUGAGGCAUGAGGCAGGCAGGAGUGAGGCCAUGCAGGGGGCUGGCAGUAGAACCCAGAGGAGACUCCAUGC